CGAAGGGCGUAGCGUUGCUCGGAAUCACUGGGCGGUAAAGGGACGGCGUAGGCGGCCAUUCAAGUCGGGGUGGAAAGCCUGUGGCUCAACCACAGAAUUGCCUUCGAUACUGUUUGGCUUGAGACCGGAAGAGGUAAGUGGAACUGCGAGUGUAGAGGUGAAAUUCGUAGAUAUUCGCAAGAACACCAGUGGCGAAGGCGGCUUACUGGUCCGGUUCUGACGCUGAGGCGCGAAAGCGUGGGGAGCAAACAGGAUU
rnacentral:rRNA from 1 species